rnacentral:rRNA from 1 species
GCACAACGCGAAGAACCUUACCAAGGCUUGACAUAUACGGUCUAUCCCUAGAGAUAGGGAGUGCUUCGGCGCCGUAUACAGGUGGUGCAUGGUUGUCGUCAGCUCGUGUCGUGAGAUGUUGGGUUAAGUCCCGCAACGAGCGCAACCCUCGUCCUAUGUUGCCAGCGGGUAAUGCCGGGGACUCAUGGGAGACUGCCGGGGUCAACUCGGAGGAAGGUGGGGAUGAGGUCAAAUCAUCAUGCCCCUUAUGUCUUGGGCUUCACGCAUGCUACAAUGGCCGGUACAAAGGGCUGCAAUACCGCAAGGUGGAGCGAAUCCCAAAAAGCCGGUCUCAGUUCGGAUUGAGGUCUGCAACUCGACCUCAUGAAGUCGGAGUCGCUAGUAAUCGCAGAUCAGCAACGCUGCGGUGAAUACGUUCCCGGGUCUUGUACACACCG